rnacentral:rRNA from 1 species
UGGGGAAUAUUGCACAAUGGGCGAAAGCCUGAUGCAGCGACGCCGCGUGAGGGAUGACGGCCUUCGGGUUGUAAACCUCUUUCAGUAGGGACGAAGCGCAAGUGACGGUACCUGCAGAAGAAGCACCGGCUAACUACGUGCCAGCAGCCGCGGUAAUACGUAGGGUGCGAGCGUUGUCCGGAAUUACUGGGCGUAAAGAGCUCGUAGGCGGGUUGUCACGUCGUCUGUGAAAUCCUAGGGCUUAACCCUGGACGUGCAGGCGAUACGGGCUGACUUGAGUACUACAGGGGAGACUGGAAUUUCUGGUGUAGCGGUGGAAUGCACAGAUAUCAGGAAGAACACCGAUGGCGAAGGCAGGUCUCUGGGUAGUAACUUACGCUGAGGAGCGAAAGCAUGGGUAGCGAACAGG